GCUGGACAAAAUGUGUUGAAGAAAAAUAAUAAUAAGAAAAAAAGAAACGUAGAAUAACAAUAUGUCACCCCAACUCCGUUGAGGGUGCCAUAACUAGAUUUGUAAUUGCCAGCAAUAACAGAUGGCACCCUCGUCCCCACAUUGCCAGGGUAACGGCAGCCAUUUUUAAAAUAAGACAUGUUUAAAGGAUAAAAAAAAAUAUACAUUUCAAACAGAAUUUGAUAAACGGAAC
rnacentral:lncRNA from 1 species